GCCUGGCUGGCUCAGUCAGUAGAGCAUGCAGCUCUUGAUCUUGGGGUUGUGGGUUCAAGCCCCAUGCUGGGUA
rnacentral:tRNA from 1 species